ACCUUUUGUAUAAUGGGUCAGCGACUUAUAUUCUGUAGCAAGGUUAACCGAAUAGGGGAGCCGAAGGGAAACCGAGUCUUAACUGGGCGUUAAGUUGCAGGGUAUAGACCCGAAACCCGGUGAUCUAGCCAUGGGCAGGUUGAAGGUUGGGUAACACUAACUGGAGGACCGAACCGACUAAUGUUGAAAAAUUAGCGGAUGACUUGUGGCUGGGGGUGAAAGGCCAAUCAAACCGGGAGAUAGCUGGUUCUCCCCGAAAGCUAUUUAGGUAGCGCCUCGUGAAUUCAUCUCCGGGGGUAGAGCACUGUUUCGGCAAGGGGGUCAUCCCGACUUACCAACCCGAUGCAAACUGCGAAUACCGGAGAAUGUUAUCACGGGAGACACACGGCGGGUGCUAACGUCCGUCGUGAAGAGGGAAACAACCCAGACCGCCAGCUAAGGUCCCAAAGUCAUGGUUAAGUGGGAAACGAUGUGGGAAGGCCCAGACAGCCAGGAUGUUGGCUUAGAAGCAGCCAUCAUUUAAAGAAAGCGUAAUAGCUCACUGGUCGAGUCGGCCUGCGCGGAAGAUGUAACGGGGCUAAACCAUGCACCGAAGCUGCGGCAGCGACGCUGAUGCGUUGUUGGGUAGGGGAGCGUUCUGUAAGCCUGCGAAGGUGUGCUGUGAGGCAUGCUGGAGGUAUCAGAAGUGCGAAUGCUGACAUAAGUAACGAUAAAGCGGGUGAAAAGCCCGCUCGCCGGAAGACCAAGGGUUCCUGUCCAACGUUAAUCGGGGCAGGGUGAGUCGACCCCUAAGGCGAGGCCGAAAGGCGUAGUCGAUGGGAAACAGGUUAAUAUUCCUGUACUUGGUGUUACUGCGAAGGGGGGACGGAGAAGGCUAUGUUGGCCGGGCGACGGUUGUCCCGGUUUAAGCGUGUAGGCUGGUUUUCCAGGCAAAUCCGGAAAAUCAAGGCUGAGGCGUGAUGACGAGGCACUACGGUGCUGAAGCAACAAAUGCCCUGCUUCCAGGAAAAGCCUCUAAGCAUCAGGUAACAUCAAAUCGUACCCCAAACCGACACAGGUGGUCAGGUAGAGAAUACCAAGGCGCUUGAGAGAACUCGGGUGAAGGAACUAGGCAAAAUGGUGCCGUAACUUCGGGAGAAGGCACGCUGAUAUGUAGGUGAAGCGACUUGCUCGUGGAGCUGAAAUCAGUCGAAGAUACCAGCUGGCUGCAACUGUUUAUUAAAAACACAGCACUGUGCAAACACGAAAGUGGACGUAUACGGUGUGACGCCUGCCCGGUGCCGGAAGGUUAAUUGAUGGGGUUAGCGCAAGCGAAGCUCUUGAUCGAAGCCCCGGUAAACGGCGGCCGUAACUAUAACGGUCCUAAGGUAGCGAAAUUCCUUGUCGGGUAAGUUCCGACCUGCACGAAUGGCGUAAUGAUGGCCAGGCUGUCUCCACCCGAGACUCAGUGAAAUUGAACUCGCUGUGAAGAUGCAGUGUACCCGCGGCAAGACGGAAAGACCCCGUGAACCUUUACUAUAGCUUGACACUGAACAUUGAGCCUUGAUGUGUAGGAUAGGUGGGAGGCUUUGAAGUGUGGACGCCAGUCUGCAUGGAGCCGACCUUGAAAUACCACCCUUUAAUGUUU
rnacentral:rRNA from 1 species